GUCUCGGUGGCGCAAUUGGUAAGCUUACCCUUCAUCAAAUUCACCCUACCAACCAGUUACUAAUUCAGGAUAAAGGUUAGCGCGUACGACUGUUAAUCGUGAGGUUGAGAGUUCGAUCCUCUCCCGGGACG
rnacentral:tRNA from 1 species